AGAAUCAACGCUGGCGGCGUGCCUAACACAUGCAAGUCGCACGAGAAAGGGACUUCGGUCCUGAGUACAGUGGCGCACGGGUGAGUAACACGUGAAUAAUCUACCUCCGAGUGGGGAAUAACUGAGAGAAAUCUUAGCUAAUACCGCAUAACACUUACGAGUCAAAGCAGCAAUGCGCUUGGAGAGGAGUUCGCGGCAGAUUAGUUAGUUGGCGGGGUAAUGGCCCACCAAGACGAUGAUCUGUAUCCGGCCUGAGAGGGCGCACGGACACACUGGAACUGAAACACGGUCCAGACUCCUACGGGAGGCAGCAGUGGGGAAUUUUGCGCAAUGGGGAAACCCUGACGCAGCAACGCCGCGUGGAGGAUGAAAUCCCUUGGGAUGUAAACUCCUUUCGAUCGGGAAGAUAAUGACGGUACCGAGAGAAGAGCCCGGCUAACUUCGUGCCAGCAGCCGC
rnacentral:rRNA from 1 species